rnacentral:rRNA from 1 species
ACAGCAGCCGCCGCGGGAAUACGUAGGGUGCAAGCGUUAAUCGGAAUUACUGGGCGUAAAGCGUGCGCAGGCGGUGUUGUAAGACUGAUGUGAAAUCCCCGGGCUCAACCUGGGAGCUGCAUUGGUGACUGCAACGCUGGAGUGCGGCAGAGGGGGAUGGAAUUCCGCGUGUAGCAGUGAAAUGCGUAGAUAUGCGGAGGAGCACCGAUGGCGAAGGCAAUCCCCUGGGCCUGCACUGACGCUCAUGCACGAAAGCGUGGGGAGCAAACAGGAUUAGAUACCCGCGUAGUCCCUGUCUCUUAUAC